GCAAACAUGGCAUAGUGGUUUGAAUGUUGGACUAUGACUCCAGAGACAAGGUUCAAUUCCCUGCUUAAA